rnacentral:rRNA from 1 species
UACGGAGGGUGCAAGCGUUAUCCGGAUUCACUGGGUUUAAAGGGUGCGUAGGAGGGCAGGUAAGUCAGUGGUGAAAUCUCCAAGCUUAACUUGGAAGCUGCCGUUGAUACUAUCUGUCUUGAAUAUUGUGGAGGUGAGCGGAAUAUGUCAUGUAGCGGUGAAAUGCUUAGAUAUGACAUAGAACACCAAUUGCGAAGGCAGCUCACUACUCAAUCAUUGACUCUGAGGCACGAAAGCGUGGGGAUCAAACAGG